rnacentral:lncRNA from 1 species
AAGAUGGGCUGUGCCUGCAUCUGCACAGCACAGAGGCUGAUGAUAGCCUUGUAAUUGCAUCUGUGGUUUAAGUCUUGUAGACCUGUGGGUCUCAACCUUCGCCCUCCUGAUGUUUUGGACCAUCUCCUAAGAGCCUCAAGCAGUGUAGCCAAUUACCAGGGAUUCUGGGAGUUGGUUUCCAAAAAGUCCAUCUGCUAGAUCUAUGGUUAGGAACCACUGCUACAGACUUUGCUCUAUUUUUCUCCAGACAUAAUGUCUUCUGUUUUCUCUUGUCUUUCUUUCUAAUUAUCUUUUACCCCCUGCAGUUGAUUCCUGGACUUUGGUCUCCUGAGAAUAUGACAGAAGCACAGCUUCAAGGGAAAGGUCAUUAGAAGAGGUGUUAGCGUGACAUACCUGUCUACCUGCUUGCCUGCCUGCCUGCCUGCCUGCCGAAGACCAGAAACAGCUUUUUUGAAAAAGUGUGCUUCAAACAAAAGUGUACCUAAACAAAGUUUCAAUAUAAAAUUUAAGCUUUAAUCUACAGCCUAGAAGAAAUCUCCAUGGAUGUUUUUUAAAAAAGCAACUGACACUACAAUAAACCUGUUAAAAAUGUCUCA